GGGAGUGUAGCUCAACUGGAUAGAGCGCUGCGCUUCGGACGCAGAUGUUGUGGGUUCGAGUCCUUCCACUCUCG
rnacentral:tRNA from 3 species